GACGAACCGAGCGAACGUUAUUCGGAAUCACUGGGCUUAAAGGGCGCGUAGGCGGGCUGUCAAGUUUGGGGUGAAAUCCCACGGCUCAACCGUGGAACUGCCUUAGAUACUGACGGCCUCGAGGAAGGUAGGGGCAUGCGGAACUGUAGGUGGAGCGGUGAAAUGCGUUGAUAUCUACAGGAACUCCGGUGGCGAAAGCGGCGUGCUGGACCUUUUCUGACGCUGAGGCGCGAAAGCUAGGGGAGCAAACGGGG
rnacentral:rRNA from 1 species